GACGAACGCUGGCGGCGUGCUUAACACAUGCAAGUCGAACGGUAAGGCCCUUUCGGGGGUUCACGAGUGGCGAACGGGUGUGUAACACGUCGGUGAUCCGCCCUGCACUUUGGGAUAAGCCUGGGAAACUGGGUCUAAUACCGGAUAGGACUACGCGAUGCAUGUCGUGUGGUGGAAAGCUUUUGCGGUGUGGGAUGGGCCCGCGGCCUAUCAGCUUGUUGGUGGGGUGAUGGCCUACCAAGGCGACGACGGGUAGCCGGCCUGAGAGGGUGUUCGGCCACACUGGGACUGAGAUACGGCCCAGACUCCUACGGGAGGCAGCAGUGGGGAAUAUUGCACAAUGGGCGCAAGCCUGAUGCAGCGACGCCGCGUGGGGGAUGACGGCCUUCGGGUUGUAAACCCCUUUCAGCACAGACGAAGCGUAAGUGACGGUAUGUGCAGAAGAAGCACCGGCCAACUACGUG
rnacentral:rRNA from 1 species